rnacentral:rRNA from 1 species
CGGAGGAAGGUGGGGAUGACGUCAAGUCAUCAUGGCCCCUAUGUCCAGGGCUACACACGUGCUACAAUGGGCGAUACAGAGUGACGCGAAGCCGCGAGGUGGAGCAAAUCGCAGAAAAUCGCUCUCAGUUCGGAUUGGAGUCUGAAACCCGACUCCAUGAAGGUGGAAUCGCUAGUAAUCGCGCAUCAGCAUGGCGCGGUGAAUACGUUCCCGGGCCUUGUACACACCGCCCGUCACACCAUCCGAGUGGGGGGUACCCGAAGCCGUUAGACCAACCUGCAAAGGGGGUCGACGUCGAAG